rnacentral:rRNA from 1 species
GACGAACGCUGGCGGCGCGCUUAACACAUGCAAGUCGAGCGAGAAUCAGAGCUUCGGCUCUGAGGACAGCGGCGAACGGGUGAGUAACACGUGGGUAAUCUGCCCUCGAUUCUGGGAUAGCCCGGGGAAACUCGGAUUAAUACCGGAUAGCCUUUCGUGCUUUCGGGCGUGAAAGAAAAGGUAGCUUCGGCCUCCGAUCGAGGAUGAGCCCGCGGUGGAUUAGCUUGUUGGCGGGGUAAUGGCCCACCAAGGCGACGAUCCAUAGCUGGUCUGAGAGGACGAUCAGCCACACUGGGACUGAGACACGGCCCAGACUCCUACGGGAGGCAGCAGUGGGGAAUCUUGCGCAAUGGGCGAAAGCCUGACGCAGCGACGCCGCGUGC